GUGGCGUGUGGUGUAGUUGGUAAAAUCCAACAAUUAAGAGUCUCAUUGCCUCUCGGGCUGGUCACCUCUUGACGUCCUGGGUUCGAUUCCCGGCACCUACG
rnacentral:tRNA from 1 species